rnacentral:rRNA from 1 species
CUGGCCUACGGGGGGCAGCAGUGGGGAAUAUUGCACAAUGGGGGAAACCCUGAUGCAGCGACGCCGCGUGGGUGAAGAAGUACUUCGGUACGUAAAGCCCUAUCAGCAGGGAAGAAAAUGACGGUACCUGAUUAAGAAGCCCCGGCUAACUACGUGCCAGCAGCCGCGGUAAUACGUAGGGGGCAAGCGUUAUCCGGAUUUAUUGGGUGUAAAGGGCGUGUAGGCGGGAAUGCAAGUCAGAUGUGAAAACUAUGGGCUCAACCCAUAGCCUGCAUUUGAAACUGUAUUUCUUGAGUGCUGGAGAG